ensembl:lncRNA
UGUAUGUGAUUCAUGUGAUAACGGACCUCUUAUUUUCCUAUAGAAAUGAACACCAGCUCGACGUUCACCUGAGAGUCGACUCGUUCUCGAUAAACACACCAACUGGUAAAUCUUUAAUGCAUAUAAAAUCUACGUUUCCCUACUGAUGAAUUCUUCUUAAACUGAAACACCGGGAUAGAAAGGGUUUAAAAUGUAGUUAUGGCAGCCGUCAAGCCCUAAGUUCAGGGUAAAUAAGAGAAGGCGGCUUGACUUUAUUCUGGAACGGACAUGGCCCUUAUUGUCAGACUUAUAGACCUCAUAUUCAUGGUUCAUGGCCUGUGUAUGCCCGCAUCGUCUGUCGCAUAAAUAACUAGCUGAUGAAAUCCGAAUGAGAGUUACAUACUGAGAGAGAGAGAGAAUGUGGCGAUUUAGUGGCAAUUACACAUUUUAUCCCCUCAGCUUUGAGAAUAAUAAAAUACAUGUGAACGCAUGGCAUUUUCGAAUGUCAUUUUUUUGUUUUACAAAUUAUAUGUUGAUCAAGGUGUCGAACUAUAUGGUUAACCAAAGGACUAUUACAGAAUAUACUGAAAGUGUAAUCAAUAUGCGUAACUAACAUUUGGAUAUGUUAAUAAAGUACAAUCUACAUAUAACCAACAUUUAGAAUUAUUACUUAGCAUAAUCUAAUAAUCAAUAUAUUAGUUAACAAGCAUAAUCUAUAUGUAUAUAGAAACAUAAACUAAAACCAUAGAACAAGUUAUAGUCUAAGUGCGUAUUGAGUUAGAUGAAUUCUGUGUCUCACUGCACAGUAACUGUUUUUCUGUAUCGUCCUGUACCUUUCUGCACAGCAAUAAAUUGGCAUUACACAUUCGCUGAAACUGCUUUUACUUUCUGCAGACUGUCUCACUUUAUUGUUUCAAUAAAGUUUGAGUACUUUUUGGCAUCUACAAACCCUCAGUCUCUGAAGUUUUUGGACGUGGGAUGGUUUCCCUGACACUGUAAGUCAUGCUGUCUGAGCCUUUUGACCAAACUACAAAGAAUAAAUAAUAAGUUGAGGAAUUACUCUCAUGUUACAC